UUUUUUUUUUUUUGUAAAUAGAACAUGAGUGGAAAACAGAUGAUACAUAGAAGGUCCUACCAGAAUGAAAUUAGAUUCAUGAAUUCAAAGACUGAAUAUAUUCAGUUUUAGGCUCCUGAUAUGAGCAUCACAAGUAAUCUCCCAGAUGCUCUUCCAUUCCACCCUGCCCCCCUUUCAUAUAACUGGAGACACCUUUCCCACCAAACCACUCUGCCUCACACCCUCUGCAUUGGGCUCAUUCAUUCAUUUAUACACCCAUCAAAUAUUUAACUGAGCUGAUAACAUGUGCCAGGCACUGUGCUUGGCGCUGGGGAUACAAAUGAAUACUGUAUCGUCUUUGCCUCCAGGAUUGUCCCGAGCCAGCCCUGAGCACGGGAUCACCGUGCCCUUCACAGCAGAGAACUCAUGCUCUUCCUGUUCCUCAUGGAAGGCAGGAUGUAUGUGGGACAUUGAGGAUCCUGUUGUCUCUUUCUUCCUGACAAAGCAUCCGGCAUAAAGUAUACUCUUAACAAACUAUGUGCAAGACUGGGAGUAAAGAUGUCCUAUAAGGACUUGGCCUGGGUUAUAAGCAUACUUCCUGGCUUGCAGGGUUGGCCAUAGGGCUGGGCACCGGGACUCAGUCUGAGGAACUGACAGAUGGACAAACUACUGGCUGAUUUCUGCUAGGCCUCCAGAAGGACAGAGUAGAGGGGGAAAGAUUUAGGACAUCCUGAAUCAGCUUGGAUUCCAGUAUCCUGUAUCUAGAGAAGCUCGAACCUAUUGAUCUGCUGGAAGCCACUCUCAGAGAUCUUGCUCACUCUGCUGACUGCCACCCCCAAUUCUGCCCCCAAUAUGUCCCUGGCUUCCUCACACCAACCAUCA